CACCAAGAGAUCAAGUUAUGUAUAUUAAGGUAAAAAGGCAGUUAAAUACAAAUAAUUGAUUUAUUGGUUUAUUCAUUUUUUAUAUAAAGGUAAAAUUUAGAUAUAAAUAAAUAAUUUGAUACAAGCCAGUUAAAAUUGAAUCUGCGAUAGCCUUGAGGGAAACUGGGAUUAGAUACCCCAUUAUUCUUGGUCGUAAAUAAAUAAUGAUUUACCGGAGUACUAUGAAUUAAUUAAAUAAAAUUUAAAACUCAAAGGGCUUGGCGGUGUUUUAGACCUCUCAGGGGAACCUGUCUCAUAAUCGACAAUCCACGUUAGACCUAACCUCUAUUUGCAAUUCAGUUUGUAUACCGUCGUCGUCAGGUAACUUUUAAAAAAUAAGAAGUUGGCAGAAAAACUAAUUGAGUUUAGACGUCAGAUCAAGGUGCAGCCUAUAUGGAGGUGAGGAUGGGUUACAAUUAAUAUUUAUAACUACGGAUAGGAUAAUGAAAUUAUUCUCUUAAUGAAGGAGGACUUGAAAGUAAAAUAAAUCUAUAUAAAUAGUUUGAAUAAGGCUCUGAAACGUGC
rnacentral:rRNA from 1 species